UGUGAUAAGUCGGUGAUUAAGACGACAACAUCAGUCCAUUAAUAUAUAUCGAACGGUUAUAUUUUGUAGCUAAUGGAGAAAAAAUCUCCUCUUAGGCGGAGGACAAGUCAGACUAUCUCCGGACGUUCCUGUGAUUUGGCCCUGAGUGACUUUCAUCGCAGCGAGACAAGGUAUCAAUCCAAGAGAAGACCUUCUCUCUUACCCCAUGACAGCUUACUUUGCUUUGGUGAGGGACCCCGUGAAAGGCUUUCUGGAAAUCUAA